rnacentral:snRNA from 1 species
UGUUUUCAGUUACUCUGAUCUGU